CCCUCCUCCAAAGGCAUGUCUGCGGGUCCCUGUCCUUGGACACCUAGGAAUCGGAGGCAGACAAAUGUGGACUUGCAGAAGUUUGGGGACUGCCUGGUCCCUGCAGGCUCAAGGUCAACCAUUUCACAUAG